rnacentral:lncRNA from 1 species
GGGGUGUUCGGGCUUCCUAAAAGUAAUACCUGGGUAUUAGGUUAUGGGGCCAUGGUAAGGUUUAAGGUUUUUGGCGUUAGGGUUAAUAUCACUGUCCAAAACCUUUGUAGGAACUCUUUUCCAACCUUUUGGAGUUGGUUACACCAACAAAAAUGUAAAAUGAAAAACAAAUAUUUGGGGUGUUCAGGCUUCCUAAAAGUAAUAUCCAGGUAUUAGGUUAUGGGGCUAUGGUAAGGUUUAAGGUUUUUGGCGUUAGGGUUAAAAUCACUGUCCAAAACCUUUGUAGGAACUCUUUUCCAACCUUUUGGAGUUGGUUAGACCAAAAAAAAUGAAAAAUGAAAAAAAAAAUAUUUGGGGUGUUCGGGCUUCCUGAAGGUAAUACCCGGGAAUUAGGUUAUGGGGCUAUGGUAAGUUUUAAGGUUUUUGGCGUUAGGGUUAAAAUCACUGUCCAAAACCUUUGUAGGAACUCUUUUCCAACCUUUUGGAGUUGGUUACACCAACAAAAAUGUAAAAUGAAGAAAAAAAUAUUUGGGGUGUUCGGGCUUCCUGAAGGUAAUACCCGGGUAAUAGAUUUUAAGGCUAGGGUAAGGUUUAAGGUUUUUGGCGUUAGGGUUAAAAUCACUGUCCAAAACCUUUGUAGGAACUCUUUUCCAACCUUUUGGAGUUAGUUAGACCAAAAAAAAAGAAAAAUGAAAAAAAAAUAUUUGGGGUGUUCAGGCUUCCUAAAAGUAAUACCCGGGUAUUAGGUUAUGGGGCUAUGGUAAGGUUUAAGGUUUUUGGCGUUAGGGUUAAAAUCACUGUCCAAAACCUUUGUAGGAACUCUUUUCCAACCUUUUGGAGUUAGUUAGACCAAAAAAAAUGAAAAAUGAAAAAAAAAUAUUUGGGGUGUUCAGGCUUCCUAAAAGUAAUACCCGGGUAUUAGAUUUUAAUGCCAGGGUAAGGUUUAAGUUUUUUGGCGUUAGGGUUAAAAUCACUGUCCAAAACCUUUGUAGGAACUCUUUUCCAACCUUUUGGAGUUAGUUAGACCAACAAAAAUGUAAAAUGAAAAACAAAUAUUUGGGGUGUUCAGGCUUCCUGAAGGUAAUACCCGGGUAUUAGGUUAUGGGGCUAGGGUAAGGUUUAAGGUUUUUGGCGUUAGGGUUAAAAUCACUGUCCAAAACCUUUGUAGGAACUCUUUUCCAACCUUUUGGAGUUAGUUAGACCAAAAAAAAAGAAAAAUGAAAAAAAAAUAUUUGGGGUGUUCAGGCUUCCUGAAGGUAAUACCCGGGUAUUAGAUUUUAAGGCUAGGGUAAGGUUUAAGUUUUUUGGCGUUAGGGUUAAAAUCACUGUCCAAAACCUUUGUAGGAACUCUUUUCCAACCUUUUGGAGUUAGUUAGACCAAAAAAAAAAUGAAAAAUGAAAAAAAAAUAUUUGGGGUGUUCAGGCUUCCUAAAAGUAAUACCCGGGUAUUAGGUUAUGGGGCUAUGGUAAGGUUUAAGGUUUUUGGCGUUAGGGUUAAAAUCACUGUCCAAAACCUUUGUAGGAACUCUUUUCCAACCUUUUGGAGUUAGUUAGACCAAAAAAAAAUGAAAAAAUGAAAAAAAAAUAUUUGGGGUUUUCGGGCUUCCUGAAAGUAAUACCCGGGUAUUAGAUUUUAAGGCUAGGGUAAGGUUUAAGUUUUUUGGCGUUAGGGUUAAAAUCACUGUCCAAAACCUUUGUAGGAACUCUUUUCCAACCUUUUGGAGUUAGUUACACCAAAAAAAAUGUAAAAUGAAAAAAAAAUAUUUGGGGUGUUCGGGCUUCCUGAAAGUAAUACCCGGGUAUUAGAUUUUGGGGCUAUGGUAAGGUUUAAGGUUUUUGGCGUUAGGGUUAAAAUCACUGUCCAAAACCUUUGUAGGAACUCUUUUCCAACCUUUUGGAGUUGGUUAGACCAAAAAAAAAAGAAAAAUGAAAAAAAAAUAUUUGGGGUGUUCAGGCUUCCUAAAAGUAAUACCCAGGUAUUAGGUUAUGGGGCUAUGGUAAGGUUUAAGUUUUUUGGCGUUAGGGUUAAAAUCACUGUCCAAAACCUUUGUAGGAACUCUUUUCCAACCUUUUGGAGUUAGUUAGACCAAAAAAAAAUGAAAAAUUAAAAAACAAUAUUUGGGGUUUUCGGGGUUCCUGAAUGUAAUACCCGGGUAUUAGGUUAUGGGGCUAGGGUAAGGUUUAAGGUUUUUGGCGUUAGGGUUAAAAUCACUGUCCAAAACCUUUGUAGGAACUCUUUUCCAACCUUUUGGAGUUAGUUAGACCAAAAAAAAAAGAAAAAUGAAAAAAAAAUAUUUGGGGUGUUCAGGCUUCCUGAAGGUAAUACCCGGGUAUUAGAUUUUAAGGCUAGGGUAAGGUUUAAGGUUUUUUGGCGUUAGGGUUAAAAUCACUGUCCAAAACCUUUGUAGGAACUCUUUUCCAACCUUUUGGAGUUGGUUAGACCAAAAAAAUGAAAAAAGAAAAAAAUAUUUGGGGUGUUCAGGCUUCCUGAAGGUAAUACCCGGGUAUUAGAUUUCAAGGGCUAGGGUAAGGUUUAAGGUUUUUGGCGUUAGGGUUAAAAUCACUGUCCAAAACCUUUGUAGGAACUCUUUUCCAACCUUUUGGAGUUAGUUAGACCAAAAAAAAUGAAAAAUGAAAAAAAAAAAUAUUUGGGGUGUUCAGGCUUCCUAAAAGUAAUACCCGGGUAUUAGGUUAUGGGGCUAUGGUAAGGUUUAAGGUUUUUGGCGUUAGGGUUAAAAUCACUGUCCAAAACCUUUGUAGGAACUCUUUUCCAACCUUUUGGAGUUAGUUAGACCAAAAAAAAUGAAAAAUGAAAAAAAAAUAUUUGGGGUUUUCGGGCUUCCUGAAGGUAAUACCCGGGUAUUAGAUUUUAAGGCUAGGGUAAGGUUUAAGUUUUUUGGCGUUAGGGUUAAAAUCACUGUCCAAAACCUUUGUAGGAACUCUUUUCCAACCUUUUGGAGUUAGGUGACCAAAAAAAAUGUAAAAUGAAAAAAAAAAAUAUUUGGGGUGUUCGGGCUUCCUGAAAGUAAUACCCAGGUAUUAGAUUUUAAGGCCAGGGUAAGGUUUAAGUUUUUUGGCGUUAGGGUUAAAAUCACUGUCCAAAACCUUUGUAGGAACUCUUUUCCAACCUUUUGGAGUUAGUUAGACCAAAAAAAAUGAAAAAUGAAAAAAAAAAUAUUUGGGGUGUUCAGGCUUCCUGAAGGUAAUACCCGGGUAUUAGAUUUUAAGGCUAGGGUAAGGUUUAAGGUUUUUGGCGUUAGGGUUAAAAUCACUGUCCAAAACCUUUGUAGGAACUCUUUUCCAACCUUUUGGAGUUAGUUAGACCAAAAAAUAUGAAAAAAGAAAAAAAUAUUAUUGGGGGUUUUCGGGCUCCCUGAAGGUAAUACCCAGGUAUUAGGUUUUGGGACUGGGGAAAGGUUUAAGGUUUUUGGCGUUAGGGUUAAAAUCACUGUCCAAAACCUUUGUAGGAACUCUUUUCCAACCUUUUGGAGUUAGUUAGACCAAAAAAAAUGAAAAAUGAAAAAAAAAUAUUUGGGGUGUUCAGGCUUCCUUAAUGUAAUACCCGGGUAUUAGAUUUUAAUGCCAGGGUAAGGUUUAAGUUUUUCGGCGUUAGGGUUAAAAUCACUGUCCAAAACCUUUGUAGGAACUCUUUUCCAACCUUUUGGAGUUGGUUACACCAACAAAAAUGUAAAAUGAAAAACAAAUAUUUGGGGUGUUCGGGCUUCCUGAAGGUAAUACCCGGGAAUUAGGUUAUGGGGCUAGGGAAAGGUUUAAGUUUUUUGGCGUUAGGGUUAAAAUCACUGUCCAAAACCUUUGUAGGAACUCUUUUCCAACCUUUUGGAGUUGGUUACAACAACAAAAAAGUAAAAUGAAAAAAAAAAUAUUUGGGGUGUUUGGGCUUCCUUAAUGUAAUACCCGGGUAUUAGAUUUUAAGGCUAGGGUAAGGUUUAAGUUUUUUGGCGUUAGGGUUAAAAUCACUUUCCAAAACCUUUGUAGGAACUCUUUUCCAACCUUUUGGAGUUAGUUAGACCAAAAAAAAAUGAAAAAUUAAAAAACAAUAUUUGGGGUUUUCGGGGUUCCUGAAUGUAAUACCCGGGUAUUAGAUUUUGAGGCUAUGGUAAGGUUUAAGGUUUUUGGCAUUAGGGUUAAAAUCACUGUCCAAAACCUUUGUAGGAACUCUUUUCCAACCUUUUGGAGUUGGUUACACCAACAAAAAUGUAAAAUGAAGAAAAAAAUAUUUGGGGUGUUCAGGCUUCCUGAAGGUAAUACCCGGGUAUUAGAUUUUAAGGCUAGGGUAAGGUUUAAGGUUUUUGGCGUAAGGGUUAAAAUCACUGUCCAAAACCUUUGUAGGAACUCUUUUCCAACCUUUUGGAGUUAGUUAGACCAAAAAAUAUGAAAAAAGAAAAAAAUAUUAUUGGGGGUUUUCGGGCUCCCUGAAAGUAAUACCCGGGUAUUAGGUUUUGGGGCUAUGGUAAGGUUUAAGUUUUUUGGCGUUAGGGUUAAAAUCACUGUCCAAAACCUUUGUAGGAACUCUUUUCCAACCUUUUGGAGUUAGUUAGACCAAAAAAAAAGAAAAAUGAAAAAAAAAUAUUUGGGGUGUUCAGGCUUCCUGAAGGUAAUACCCGGGUAUUAGAUUUUAAGGCUAGGGUAAGGUUUAAGGUUUUUGGCGUUAGGGUUAAAAUCACUGUCCAAAACCUUUGUAGGAACUCUUUUCCAACCUUUUGGAGUUAGUUAGACCAAAAAAUAUGAAAAAAGAAAAAAAUAUUAUUGGGGGUUUUCGGGCUCCCUGAAGGUAAUACCCAGGUAUUAGGUUUUGGGACUGGGGAAAGGUUUAAGGUUUUUGGCGUUAGGGUUAAAAUCACUGUCCAAAACCUUUGUAGGAACUCUUUUCCAACCUUUUGGAGUUAGUUAGACCAAAAAAAAUGAAAAAUGAAAAAAAAAUAUUUGGGGUGUUCAGGCUUCCUUAAUGUAAUACCCGGGUAUUAGAUUUUAAUGCCAGGGUAAGGUUUAAGUUUUUUGGCGUUAGGGUUAAAAUCACUGUCCAAAACCUUUGUAGGAACUCUUUUCCAACCUUUUGGAGUUGGUUACACCAACAAAAAUGUAAAAUGAAAAACAAAUAUUUGGGGUGUUCGGGCUUCCUGAAGGUAAUACCCGGGAAUUAGGUUAUGGGGCUAGGGAAAGGUUUAAGUUUUUUGGCGUUAGGGUUAAAAUCACUGUCCAAAACCUUUGUAGGAACUCUUUUCCAACCUUUUGGAGUUGGUUACAACAACAAAAAAGUAAAAUGAAAAAAAAAUAUUUGGGGUGUUUGGGCUUCCUUAAUGUAAUACCCGGGUAUUAGAUUUUAAGGCUAGGGUAAGGUUUAAGUUUUUUGGCGUUAGGGUUAAAAUCACUUUCCAAAACCUUUGUAGGAACUCUUUUCCAACCUUUUGGAGUUAGUUAGACCAAAAAAAAAUGAAAAAUUAAAAAACAAUAUUUGGGGUUUUCGGGGUUCCUGAAUGUAAUACCCGGGUAUUAGAUUUUGAGGCUAUGGUAAGGUUUAAGGUUUUUGGCAUUAGGGUUAAAAUCACUGUCCAAAACCUUUGUAGGAACUCUUUUCCAACCUUUUGGAGUUGGUUACACCAACAAAAAUGUAAAAUGAAGAAAAAAAUAUUUGGGGUGUUCAGGCUUCCUGAAGGUAAUACCCGGGUAUUAGAUUUCAAGGCUAGGGUAAGGUUUAAGGUUUUUUGCGUAAGGGUUAAAAUCACUGUCCAAAACCUUUGUAGGAACUCUUUUCCAACCUUUUGGAGUUAGUUAGACCAAAAAAUAUGAAAAAAGAAAAAAAUAUUAUUGGGGGUUUUCGGGCUCCCUGAAAGUAAUACCCGUGUAUUAGGUUUUGGGACUAGGGAAAGGUUUAAGGUUUUUGGCGUUAGGGUUAAAAUCACUGUCCAAAACCUUUGUAGGAACUCUUUUCCAACCUUUUGGAGUUAGUUAGACCAAAAAAAAAAAAGAAAAAUGAAAAAAAAAUAUUUGGGGUGUUCAGGCUUCCUAAAAGUAAUACCCGGGUAUUAGGUUAUGGGGCUAUGGUAAGGUUUAAGGUUUUUGGCGUUAGGGUUAAAAUCACUGUCCAAAACCUUUGUAGGAACUCUUUUUCAACCUUUUGGAGUUAGUUAGACCAAAAAAAAAUGAAAAAUGAAAAAAAAAUAUUUGGGGUUCACGGGCUUCCUUAAUGUAAUACCCGGGUAUUAGAUUUUAAGGCUAGGGUAAGGUUUAAGUUUUUUGGCGUUAGGGUUACAAUCACUGUCCAAAACCUUUGUAGGAACUCUUUUCCAACCUUUUGGAGGUGGUUGAACCAACAAAAAUGUAAAAUGAAGAAAAAAAUAUUUGGGGUGUUCAGGCUUCCUGAAUGUAAUACCCGGGUAUUAGAUUUUAAGGCCAGGGAAAGGUUUAAGUUUUUUGGCGUUAGGGUUAAAAUCACUGUCCAAAACCUUUGUAGGAACUCUUUUCCAACCUUUUGGAGUUGGUUACACCAACAAAAAUGUAAAAUGAAGAAAAAAAUAUUUGGGGUGUUCAGGCUUCCUGAAGGUAAUACCCGGGUAUUAGAUUUUAAGGCUAGGGUAAGGUUUAAGGUUUUUGGCGUUAGGGUUAAAAUCACUGUCCAAAACCUUUGUAGGAACUCUUUUCCAACCUUUUGGAGUUAGUUAGACCAAAAAAUAUGAAAAAAGAAAAAAAUAUUAUUGGGGGUUUUCGGGCUCCCUGAAAGUAAUACCCGGGUAUUAGGUUUUGGGGCUAUGGUCAGGUUUAAGUUUUUUGGCGUUAGGGUUAAAAUCACUGUCCAAAACCUUUGUAGGAACUCUUUUCCAACCUUUUGGAGUUGGUUACACCAACAAAAAUGAAAAAUGAAAAAAAAAUAUUUGGGGUGUUCAGGCUUCCUGAAGGUAAUACCCGGGUAUUAGAUUUUAAGGCUAGGGUAAGGUUUAAGGUUUUUGGCGUUAGGGUUAAAAUCACUGUCCAAAACCUUUGUAGGAACUCUUUUCCAACCUUUUGGAGUUAGUUAGACCAAAAAAUAUGAAAAAAGAAAAAAAUAUUAUUGGGGGUUUUCGGGCUCCCUGAAGGUAAUACCCAGGUAUUAGGUUUUGGGACUGGGGAAAGGUUUAAGGUUUUUGGUGUUAGGGUUAAAAUCACUGUCCAAAACCUUUGUAGGAACUCUUUUCCAACCUUUUGGAGUUAGUUUGACCAAAAAAAAAAAGAAAAAUGAAAAAAAAAUAUUUGGGGAGUUCAGGCUUCCUGAAGGUAAUACCCGGGUAUUAGAUUUCAAGGCUAGGGUAAGGUUUAAGGUUUUUGGCGUUAGGGUUAAAAUCACUGUCCAAAACCUUUGUAGGAACUCUUUUCCAACCUUUUGGAGUUAGUUAGACCAAAAAAUAUGAAAAAAGAAAAAAAUAUUAUUGGGGGUUUUCGGGCUCCCUGAAAGUAAUACCCGGGUAUUAGGUUUUGGGGCUAUGGUCAGGUUUAAGUUUUUUGGCGUUAGGGUUAAAAUCACUGUCCAAAACCUUUGUAGGAACUCUUUUCCAACCUUUUGGAGUUAGUUAGACCAAAAAAAAUGAAAAAUGAAAAAAAAAAUAUUUGGGGUGUUCAGGCUUCCUGAAGGUAAUACCCGGGUAUUAGAUUUUAAGGCUAGGGUAAGGUUUAAGGUUUUUGGCGUUAGGGUUAAAAUCACUGUCCAAAACCUUUGUAGGAACUCUUUUCCAACCUUUUGGAGUUAGUUAGACCAAAAAAUAUGAAAAAAGAAAAAAAUAUUGUUGGGGGUUUUCGGGCUCCCUGAAGGUAAUACCCAGGUAUUAGGUUUUGGGACUGGGGAAAGGUUUAAGGUUUUUGGCGUUAGGGUUAAAAUCACUGUCCAAAACCUUUGUAGGAACUCUUUUCCAACCUUUUGGAGUUAGUUAGACCAAAAAAAAUGAAAAAUGAAAAAAAAAUAUUUGGGGUGUUCAGGCUUCCUUAAUGUAAUACCCGGGUAUUAGAUUUUAAUGCCAGGGUAAGGUUUAAGUUUUUUGGCGUUAGGGUUAAAAUCACUGUCCAAAACCUUUGUAGGAACUCUUUUCCAACCUUUUGGAGUUGGUUACACCAACAAAAAUGUAAAAUGAAAAACAAAUAUUUGGGGUGUUCGGGCUUCCUGAAGGUAAUACCCGGGAAUUAGGUUAUGGGGCUAGGGAAAGGUUUAAGUUUUUUUGCGUUAGGGUUAAAAUCACUGUCCAAAACCUUUGUAGGAACUCUUUUCCAACCUUUUGGAGUUGGUUAAAACAACAAAAAAGUAAAAUGAAAAAAAAAUAUUUGGGGUGUUUGGGCUUCCUUAAUGUAAUACCCGGGUAUUAGAUUUUAAGGCUAUGGUAAGGUUUAAGGUUUUUGGCGUUAGGGUUAAAAUCACUGUCCAAAACCUUUGUAGGAACUCUUUUUCAACCUUUUGGAGUUAGUUAGACCAAAAAAAAAAUGAAAAAUGAAAAAAAAAUAUUUGGGGUGUUCAGGCUUCCUUAAUGUAAUACCCCGGUAUUAGAUUUUAAGGCUAGGGUAAGGUUUAAGUUUUUUGGCGUUAGGGUUACAAUCACUGUCCAAAACCUUUGUAGGAACUCUUUUCCAACCUUUUGGAGGUGGUUGAACCAACAAAAAUGUAAAAUGAAGAAAAAAAUAUUUGGGGUGUUCAGGCUUCCUGAAGGUAAUACCCGGGUAUUAGAUUUUAAGGCCAGGGAAAGGUUUAAGUUUUUUGGCGUUAGGGUUAAAAUCACUGUCCAAAACCUUUGUAGGAACUCUUUUCCAACCUUUUGGAGUUGGUUGAACCAACAAAAAUGUAAAAUGAAGAAAAAAAUAUUUGGGGUGUUCAGGCUUCCUGAAGGUAAUACCCGGGUAUUAGAUUUUAAGGCUAGGGUAAGGUUUAAGGUUUUUGGCGUUAGGGUUAAAAUCACUGUCCAAAACCUUUGUAGGAACUCUUUUCCAACCUUUUGGAGUUAGUUAGACCAAAAAAUAUGAAAAAAGAAAAAAAUAUUAUUGGGGGUUUUCGGGCUCCCUGAAAGUAAUACCCGGGUAUUAGGUUUUGGGACUAUGGUCAGGUUUAAGGUUUUUGGCGUUAGGGUUAAAAUCACUGUCCAAAACCUUUGUAGGAACUCUUUUCCAACCUUUUGGAGUUGGUUACACCAACAAAAAUGAAAAAUGAAAAAAAAAAUAUUUGGGGUGUUCAGGCUUCCUGAAGGUAAUACCCGGGUAUUAGAUUUUAAGGCUAGGGUAAGGUUUAAGGUUUUUGGCGUUAGGGUUAAAAUCACUGUCCAAAACCUUUGUAGGAACUCUUUUCCAACCUUUUGGAGUUAGUUAGACCAAAAAAUAUGAAAAAAGAAAAAAAUAUUAUUGGGGGUUUUCGGGCUCCCUGAAGGUAAUACCCAGGUAUUAGGUUUUGGGACUGGGGAAAGGUUUAAGGUUUUUGGUGUUAGGGUUAAAAUCACUGUCCAAAACCUUUGUAGGAACUCUUUUCCAACCUUUUGGAGUUGGUUACACCAACAAAAAUGUAAAAUGAAAAAAAAAUAUUUGGGGUGUUCGAGCUUCCUGAAGGUAAUACCCGGGUAUUAGGUUAUGGGGCUAUGGUAAGGUUAAAGGUUUUUGGCGUUAGGGUUAAAAUCACUGUCAAAAACCUUUGUAGGAACUCUUUUCCAACCUUUCGGAGUUGGUUACACCAACAAAAAUGUAAAAUGAAAAAAAAAUAUUUGGGGUGUUCGAGCUUCCUGAAGGUAAUACCCGGGUAUUAGGUUAUGGGGCUAUGGUAAGGUUUUAUUGUUUGGCGUUAGGUUUAAAAUCAAAAAAACAAACAAACAAACAAAAAAAAAAUCUCAAAAACAAAAGUUCAAACAAGACACAAACUCAAGAUCAAAAAACACCACAAACUCAAGUUCAACCAACACCCAAAUCUCAAGUUUAACAAUUGCCACAACCUCUAGUUCAAAAACAACACAAACUCAAGUUCAAACACGACACAAACUCAGGUGCAAAAACACCACAAACUCAAGUUCAACAAUUGCCACCAACUAAAGUUCAGAGAAAAAUACAGACUCAAGUUCAACAAUUGCCACAAACUCAAGUUCAACAAACACCACAAUCUUAAGUUCAACAAAUUCCAAAAUUUCAAGUUCAACAAAUGACCUAAACUCACAUUUAACAAUUGCCAAAAACUUAAAAGUUAAAAAAGUGCCACAAACUGAAGUUCAAAAACACCACAAACUGAAGUGUGUGAGGACAUGCAAACCACCAGACUGCACCUGUCUCAGCAAUGGGCUGAAGUGCACAAACCUGUGCAAAUUACAAACUUGUGCCAACCAGUACAGUGAGGAAGAGCCCCUUGCACACCGGCAGAUUCAGAUGUAGAAGAAGAUACAGAUACUGAUGUCGAUUACUGAUGUUGAUUAAUAAGUGAUGACCAAAGGGAGCUAUGUUAGCAGACCCACUGUGACUCAGUGACAGAAUUAUGUGCUAAGCCAAAACUUGACAGUCAUAUUUGCCGUCACUGUUCCUUAUGGAAAGAAUAGGACUUUGAAUAGGAAUUGGAGUUUUUCUCAGAUGAUUGUAUAGAGUGUAUACAUCAGUAGAUCUUAUUUUGUUGCUAAUGUCUUCUUGCCCUGCACCAGCCAGGAUGAUUGUAUAUUGAGUGCCUACAUUUAAAAUAUGUCAGUGUCAUAUUAAAGUUGUGUUAUUAUAAUGCUAUUAGUCUGCAUUUAUUUUAUUUCUACUUCUAAGUCAAAAAAUAUCCUUAAUUUAGACCUUGAUUUAGACCUGACAAUUAGCUAAUUGAAGCUUAUAUAUACACACCUGUAUUAGAUAAAUUACUUGAAAUACUACUUAGGGGGUUAAUACAAGUCUCUAUGGCUAGCCAAUAGUUCAAACACACCUAAAUGAGAGGUUAAAAUGAAAGAAAGCUCAUUUUGAAGGAAGGCGAUUUUUCGUUUUUGAACAGCUGCACUCUAUUACUUCAAUGAGUAAUAACUACAAUAAAGCUACCAGUUACCAAGGUCUAUCAAAUAAAAACUUAUUGUAGGGAUGUAUAAAAAAAUCACAACUAGAAUUUGCCCACCUAGGUGGUACCGAUAUGUGAAAUUUUGGUUAUUGGCUCAAGGACUAAAACUCAAGUUCACAAACACAACAAGUCAAGUUCAAGCAACACCCGAUCCUCAAGUUCAACAAUUUCCACAAACUUAAGUUAAAAAACACCAGAACCUCUAGUUCAAAAAACAUGAUAAACUCAAGUUCAAAUAUGCCACAAACUCAAGUUCAAUGAACACCACAAACUCAAGUUCAACCACCACCCGAUUCUCAAGUUUAACAAUUGCCACAACCUCAAGGUUAAAAAAAACACAAACUCAAGUUCAAACACUUCACAAACUCAAGUUCAAAAACACCACACAAACUCAAGUUCAACAAACACCACAAACUCAAGUUCAACAAACACAACAAGUCAAGUUCAAGCAACACCCGAUCCUCAAGUUCAACAAUUUCCACAAACUUAAGUUAGAAAACACCAGAACCUCAAGUUCAAAAAACAUAAUAAACUCAAGUUCAAAUAUGCCACAAACUCAAGUUCAAUGAACACCACAAACUCAAGUUCAACGAACGCCACAAACAAAAGUUCAACAAUUGCCACCAACUAAAGUUCACUAAAAACCAUAGACUCAAGUUCAACAAUUGCCAAAAAAUCAAGCCAAACAAACUCAAGUUCAUAAGUUGCCACAAACUUCAAACACGACACAAACUCAAGUUCAAAAACACCACAAACUCAAGUUCAAAAACGACACAAACUCAAGUUCAACAAACAAAACUAACUAUUUAGAGUAAUUUUGAGGUGUUUGAGAGGUUUUUUGUAGACUUACCCUAGUGGUCCUAAGUUGUUGUUGAUGUGAGGGGUUUCUUUUCCAGUAGUCUAAAAUCUGUUGGAGGGGGGAAAAGGUUCCAGCUGUCCAUCCGCGGUGGCAGCGGUGUGUCUGAAGUCCGGGGUCCUCGGCGGGGGAAAGAAGAUCAGCGCUCCGCGGGAAGGUUUGCUGGGACUCGGUGCUGUAGGCGGGUCGAAGCUCGGUGGUGGGCGGCUUGGAGUGAUGGAGGUGCGGCGUCUUCUUUCAGUUGGCGGCGCGGCGUCUUCCUCGAUGGUGGUCCGUCUUCUUGGUCCAGAGGUCAGUGCUUUGUCUCAAUAACUGGAACAGGAAUUGCUCUUCAGUGCACGGCACUUAAAUGUGCUUUUCACACGAGGAGACAUCCCCAGAGUUGGGCUCGAGUCAUGGUUUGUGCUGUUCCUCUCAGACAUGGUUGUGUUCUCUUCUCGAUGUUUGUAUUCCAGAAUGGAUGUCUCUUGGUUGUAUUUUAAACCUUCAAGUUGUUUUAAGUUAAUUUUAAUGUAGUUUAUUGUUUUAAAUUGAGUUUUGCUACAUUCAAUUUGUAUGCAAUCGCAAGGGAUUGUGGGUAUUUUAGUUCUGAGGGAUGAGAGCCUAAGGAAUCAAUCUUCCUGUUACAGCAAAGGAUUGUGGGUAAAACCGUGAGGAAGUGAGGUACUUCCUUUCUGGCAUGAGAGCCUUGGGAAUCAAUCUCCCUGUUGCAGCAAAGGAUUGUGGGUAAAACCGUGAGUGAGGGAGGUACAUUUUUCCUGGCAUGAGAACCUCAGGAGUCAGUCCUUCCUAAGAAAAAAGAGGGGAGGGGGGAAGAAAAACAAAAGCACAGGAACCCUAAAAUAAAAUAAAAUAAUAUAAAACAAUGAAAAAAUAAAAGAAGAACAAAAGUGGAUUGCAAAAGGGAAAGGGGAAGAAAAAAGGAAAAAAAGAAGUGUCAAGAGCAAAUAGCAAAAAUCAGAAGUGAGCUUAAAAACAGAGAACAGUUCCCUAAAAGAAAGACAGAAAUGUAAAUCUGAUCAAUGUCCUAAGGGAAAAUCUGUACGUGUGUGUGUGUGUGUUCUUUUUUGCUAACUUAGUCUGGUGUCACUGAUGGUCAGUUAUUGAUAAGUAUUUAUUAUUUAAAUUUUUGAUGAAGUUGUUUGUAGUGGGGUUAGCUGGCUAAUUUUAGAGUGUUAAAAAGAUGUUAGAGGGGGAGGAUUUAGGGGGCACGGCGGUUCCCCUUCAGGUCUUUCUUAAUCCUCCAUAUAGGUGACCCAACAGGGGUUACCCCCCGGCCGGGGUAGGCCUAGGCUGAAGAUCACCUAUUUGUCCUCUGUGAAGGUGAAAAUAAAGGGGCAGGGGAGGGAAUAAGAAAGGGGGGGUGUUAGAGAGAGGGGUAGAGAUGAGGGAGAGAGAUGAGGGAGAGAGAGAGAGAGAGAGAGAGAGAGAGAGAGAGAGAGAGAGAGAGAGAGAGAGAGAGUGUGUGUGUGUGUGUGUGUGUGUGUGUGUGUGUGUGUGUGUGUGUGUGUGUGAGAGAGAGAGAGAGAGAAGGGAAGAGGGAGAGGGGGGUUUAAGGGAGAGGUGGAGAUGGUGGAAAAUAAAGAUUGGUGAGGGGGAUGUUGACAUAUCACAUGUUCCCAGUCAAGUCUCCAAGCUCAAUCUGUGUGUAAAAAUUAUGUGUUGGUAGGAAGUUUAAUGACUCCACUCAAUUGGUAUGCCAUGCUGUCUAUCUUUUAGACUAUGUGUUUGUAAAUUAUGUAUAUAUUAUAUUACAGGGCUAGGGUAAGGUUAAAGGUUUUUGGCGUUAGGGUUAAAAUCACUGUCCAAAACCUUUGUAGGAACUCUUUUCCAACCUUUUGGAGUAAGCUAGACCAAAAAAAAAAAAAUGAAAAAUGAAAAAAAAAAUGUUUGGGGUGUUCAGGCUUCCUAAAAGUAAUACACUGGUAUUAGGUUUUGGGGCUAGGGUAAGGUUUAAGGUUUUUGGCGUUAGGGUUAAAAUCACUGUCCAAAACCUUAGUAGGAACUCUUUUCCAACCUUUUGGAGUUGGUUACACCAACAAAAAUGUAAAAUGAAAAAAAAUAUUUGGGGCUUUCGGGCUUCCUGAA